rnacentral:rRNA from 1 species
UCCUACGGGGGGCAGCAGUGGGGAAUAUUGGGCAAUGGAGGAAACUCUUACCCAGCAAUGCCGCGUGAAUGAAGAAGGUCUUCGGAUUGUAAAGUUCUUUAAUUGGGGACGAAAAAAAUGACGGUACCCAAGGAAUAAGCCCCGGCUAACUACGUGCCAGCAGCCGCGGUAAUACGUAGGUGGCAAGCGUUAUCCGGAUUUAUUGGGUGUAAAGGGCGUGUAGGCGGGAACGCAAGUCAGAUGUGAAAACUCAGGGCUCAACCCUGAGCCUGCCUUUGAAACUGUGUUUCUUGAGUGCUGGAGAG